CCUGAGAGGAGUCCUUUCCUUCCUUCUUUUCCUUCCUCAUUUCUUUCUUUGUUCCUUUCUUUCCUUCUUUCUCUCUCUCUCUUUCUUUCUUUCCUAACUCAUUUCUUUUUUCUUUCUUCCUUUCCUCCCUUCUUUCCUUUUUUAUUCUUUCUUUUUUCUUCUUCCUUCCUUCCUUUCAUUCGUCCUUUCUUUCCUUCUUUCCUUCCUUCUUCCUUGCUUCUUUUCUUUCUCACUCUCUUUCUCUCUCUUUUCUUUCUAUCUUUCCUUCCUUCCUUGUUUCUUUCUUUCCUUCCUUCCUUGUUUCUCUCUCUCUUUCUUUCCUUGCUUUCAUUCCUCAUUUCUUUCUUUCCUUCUUCCUUCUGUUCCUUCCUUAUUUCCUUUUUCUUCUUUCUUCCUUCCUUCCAUUCAUUCUUCCUUUCUUUCCUUCCUUCUUCCUUCCUUCCUCUUUUUAUUUUCCUUCCUUCCUUCCUUCCUUCCUUCUUUGUCUUUCUUGCUUUCUUUUCUUUUUUCUUUCUGUCUCCCUUUCUUUUUUCCUUCCUUCUUCCUUUUUUCCUUCUUUCUUUAUUUCCCUCUCUUUCCUUCCUUUUUUCCUUCUUUCUUCCUCUUCCUUCCUUCCUUUCCUUCUUUCCUUUCCUUUUAUUCUUUCUUUCUUUCCUUCCUUCAUCCUUUCAUUCUUCCUUCUUUCUGUCUUUUUUCUCUGUCUCUUUCCUUCCUUAUUUCUUUCUUCCUUUCCUUCUUUUUCUCUUCCUUUCUCUCUUUCCUUCCUUUUUUCUUUCCUUCUUUCUUUUUUCUUCCUUCCUUCCUUCCCUCCCUCCCUCCAUUCCUUGCUUCCUUCCUUUUCCCCUUCUUUCUUUCCUUGUUUCUUUCUCUCACUCUUUCUUUUCUUCUUUUUCUCUCACUUUUUCUUUCCUUCCUUUUUCUUUCCUUCCCUCCCUCCCUUCUUUCUUUCUUUCUUUCUGUCUUUCUCUCUCUUAAUUUUCUUUUUUCCUUCCUUUUUAUUCCUUCCUUCUUUUUUCUUUCCUUCUUUCCUUCCUUCUUUCUCUCUUUUCCUUUCUUCCUUCCUUCCUUUCUCUUUCUUUCUUUCUUUCUUUCUUUCUUUCUUUCUUUCUUUCUUUCUUUCUUUCAUCCUGCCUACUUUCUUUUCUUCUUGCUUUCUUACUUUCCUUCUUUUGUUUUUUUUCGUGCUUUCUCUCUCUCUAUUUCUUUCCUUCCUUUUUUCAUUUUUUAUUUCCAUCGUG
rnacentral:lncRNA from 1 species